rnacentral:tRNA from 1 species
AUGGUUUGGUUGGUAAAGUACUUGCUUUGCAAGCAAGAAGACUUGAGUUCAAGUCUUACU